rnacentral:rRNA from 1 species
AGUGAACGCUGGCGGUAGGCCUAACACAUGCAAGUCGAACGGCAGCACAGUAAGAGCUUGCUCUUACGGGUGGCGAGUGGCGGACGGGUGAGGAAUACAUCGGAAUCUACUUUUUCGUGGGGGAUAACGUAGGGAAACUUACGCUAAUACCGCAUACGACCUACGGGUGAAAGCAGGGGAUCUUCGGACCUUGCGCGAUUGAAUGAGCCGAUGUCGGAUUAGCUAGUUGGCGGGGUAAAGGCCCACCAAGGCGACGAUCCGUAGCUGGUCUGAGAGGAUGAUCAGCCACACUGGAACUGAGACACGGUCCAGGCUCCUACGGGAGGCCGCAGUGGGGAAUAUUGGACAAUGGGCGCAAGCCUGAUCCAGCCAUACCGCGUGGGUGAAGAAGGCCUUCGGGUUGUAAAGCCCUUUUGUUGGGAAAGAAAAGCAGCAGGUUAAUACCCCGCUGUUCUGACGGUACCCAAGGAAUAAGCACCGGCUAACUUCGUG